UGGCAAUUUGGCCAUUUUAUAAAAAAUUUGGGCUUGAAGAGAGGAGAUAUAUAAAAGAAUUAAUUUUAAAAGGCAAAAUCAAAGCAAAGACAACGACCGGGACUUCAUUUUAUACAAAAGAAAAUGCAACAAUAUAUAUAUUAUAUUUGUUCCUGCUAUUCCUGCAAGGACCACAGGACGACAGGGCUUUAUUUCGCCAACAAUGUUAAAAUACAUACAUAUAUGUAGAUUAAGAAUAAAAUAAGAUUAUAUAUCAUUUGAAUUGUUAAAUUAGAACAUAAAUUGCAUAAUUAUAAUAAUUUAUAUAGAAAUAU